rnacentral:lncRNA from 1 species
CUUAACUAAUAGGCCCUAGGUAAACCAUGGCUUUAGACAGUUUUGUACACAUGCUUGAUUGCAGGCACAAUGCUCAAAGGUGAAAAGAGGAAAACCAACUUUUCUAAUUUUUUUCAUGCUGCUUUGGGGUUCUUUCUUACAACACAAUAGUCUUUUCAAGUUCUUCCCCCGCCCUGUUUUAUAAUCAUGACUGAGUUUUUAAAAUGUUUAAUAUCUCCCUGAGCUACAUACUAUUGUUCUACAAGUUCUUUGCUUUCAUCAAAUAGUCAAUUAUAUUAUCUGUGAAUACAGGGAGGCAAUGAUAGAAAAAAGUGACUCCAGGAAGAGGCAGCUA